rnacentral:misc_RNA from 1 species
GAUGAAGAACGUAGCAAAAUGCGAUAAGUAAUGUGAAUUGCAGAAUUCAGUGAAUCAUCGAAUCUUUGAACGCACAUUGCGCCCGCUGGUAUUCCGGCGGGCAUGCCUGUUCGAGCGUCAUUUCAACCCUCAAGCCCCCGGGUUUGGUGUUGGGGAUCGGCUCUGCCCUUCUGGGCGGUGCCGCCCCCGAAAUACAUUGGCGGUCUCGCUGCAGCCUCCACUGCGUAGUAGCUAACACCUCGCAACUGGAACGCGGCGCGGCCAUGCCGUAAAACCCCAACUUCUGAAUGUUGACCUCGGAUCAGGUAGGAAUACCCGCUGAACUUAAGCAUAUCAAUAAGCGGAGGA